UGUGCCAAGGGGGUCCCUGUGCCAAGGGGGUCCCUGCGCCCUGGCUGCUGCAGAAACCCGCAGCUCCCCAGAGCCUGGCACAGCACAGGCUGCUGCGGCGCCGUGCCAGCGAGGCACUCCUGGCGCUGGGGAAAUCCCCAGCCACGCGUAGUGAAAGCACCGUCCUCUCCCACGGAGCCAGGACCAGGGAGAGGCCAGUCCUGCUCGCACUUCUGCAUUGUGUGCAUUGCACAACCGCCGCGCCAAACGCAGAGCUUCCCUCUGACACCAGGCAGCUCAGCCCUUGUCCCGUCUGUCAAACGCUGGGAAGGAGCUUUGCUGCUGAGCCGUUGGCCAGUUAACACCUUCUCUGUUUUAGCCUGAGCAGACAUGCCUAUGGAUGACUAAUAGCUGCGAGCCAUGACACCGCACGGUCUCAGCGCCUCUCUGCGCAGCCAGCCUUGCCGACACGGAGCCCGGCGUCACCGCACGCCCGUGGCACGUGAUGGACGCGCUGCCACGAGCGGGCACAGGGCUCUCCCUCGCUUGCUUGUCUGGGGCGCGCUCUGCCUUCCACUCCUGAGAACAAAAUCUCUUUCCCCCAUGGAUGUGGCUUCUCAAGAGGAGCACGUUGGUGAUGCGGUGAGAUGAGCCAUCGGGUCGCUCUGCGGGUGAGCGGGGGUUUGGGAUGUCAGAGCUGUGGGCAACGCACAGACCCCCGACAACCAGCCCUGUCCCCUCCGAGCAGGGCAGCUGGACCUGCGCUCAGUGCCCAGGGCUCCUCCACACAGCAGCCUGAAGAAAGCUGAACUCAAGUAACUAAAUCGAAAGUGGAUCAAAGAGCAUUAAAAUUCUGCAUAAAACUCUCAUUCAGAAUUAAAGUGGCCUUAAUUCAGUUUAAUUUACUCCCAAAUGCUACUAAAUAAAGCCAUUUAAAUUGUUCUUAAUUAACGUAAGUGUUCCCAUAUAGGCAUUUAUAAAUGAAGUUUAAUUAGCCCGUUUUUAAAAGGGAGUUUACUGCCGCGAGCGGCCGUAGAUCGGCAAGCCAGGUCCACGGGCUCUUUGCUGACGCGGCUCCCGAUUGAGCUGGUUAGCGGUGGUUGUGGAGCGCUGGCAUCUCCUCCCGAGGCCGCGGCACCGGGACGGCUUCCUUCCCAACAGCAGGUAUCAGUAACGAGAUCCUCGAUACCACCUCUGCUGACUGUGUUAAAUGCCAGAGGACAAGCUCUUCCUUUAAAACCCGGGACAUGGGAGGCGCAAUCCCUAUAAAAAUUCCCUAGAAAAAGGUGAUGUCAGGAUUUUACAAGAAUUGUUGAUGAGCAAGGAGCCAGACAGGAGGGCAUCGCGUGCUGAGUCAGCAGAGCUGGAAGGACACGGAGCACGGGGAGGGACGGUGGGGCAGCUCUGGCUUCCACCCCCUGUCCCUGCGCAGGGGACACUCCAUGUGCUUGGGCAGAAACAAAGUCCCCGGCCUCGUAGGUGACAGUGAAGGGCCACCCAUCAUCCUGGCAGUGGCUUCACUCUGGAAACCUUCACAUCCUCCACAACGGUGCCAAACAAUUGAAGCACUUUCUCUUCAAAGCAAUUUGAAAAUGAAAAGGAAAAAUCAAAAGUAACCACGGGGAGUUUGGGGUGCAGCCAGCGUAUGACCCCUUUUGACUCGAGGGUGGAGAAGCCAACAGACCCUCUCCAGCCUGGCUCGUCACCAAAUCAAACCAGGCAGCGUGCCGUUGCUGUCACUGCUUUGCAUCAAUCAGAAGAUCCAGAUUUGUGGUUUCACUUGGGGGUUUUUCCUAUAAAAAGCACAUCUGUGGCCAUACUUUUUGGUGCAAUAGACUUUAGCCUGGAAGCAAAAGCACACAAACAGUGCUAAAUUCAUGCUGACUGGAGUAGAUUCCAAGGGAAAGAAGAGUUGGGAAAGCACCUACUUAAGUACUGACUAAGGAUAUUAUCUCUGAUCUGAAUCUCGCCUCUGUGUGUGUGUUACUGUUGAGUACACAGUGCGGUUUCAGACACGGCCAGAGACAAGAAAAAAUGAUUGUUUCGGGGUAACCACAAGGAAGAUGAAUGCAAAUGUAUUCCUGUAACUGGGAGAGUUCCCUUGCUCUUAAGCUGGGCUCUGGUACAUGGCCUCGGGGAAGCAAAUUUGCAACUACCUUCAUUAAAUUGUUUAAGAAUGAUUAAUCAGAGGGCAGAGACAUAAGAUUUUUGCACGUUGUGAAAUGAGAGUUCAAUUCCUGCAGUUAUGUACGGUGUGUAUGGAUGGCUUUCGCCAGCAGUCAGGGGACAGGUCCUGGUGAUUGAUGGAUGCUUCCUGCGGGCUCUUAUCUCCUCCACAAGCCCGGGCUGAUAACUCCGCUGGCUGAAUCACAUCCAGCCGCAUCCCUUGGGGCUCAGGGUGGUGUGAGAGCCGUGUGUCGCCGGCUCCGGUGCGAUGCGUGCCCGCCGUGCGGCCCCUGUGCCCCCGGGCUGGCCACCGCGGCACCGGAGCGGCCACCGCGGCAGGAGGUGCUGCCUGCACCCCGACCACACUGCCAUGUCUGACCAUCAUUCAGUGUCACCGGCUGCUGGAAGUGCAGCUCCUGCAGAACACAAAAGUCCAUAGAGCGCCUUUGCUGAUGUGCCCGCAGCCUGCAGCUGCACGUUCACACGUUCCUUCUGCCUAAAGCUGCCUAGAGCUUAGGCUUGGUUUAAGUGCAUUCUCAGCCUCUCCUCGGUGACAGCAGGAUUGUCAUUGCGCCUGAUACACCAUCCCCUGCGCUCUGUCCUGUUCCCUCCCUUUCCAGGUGCAGCUCGUGGGUCUCCUCUGCUUUCCAGCUGGGUGCUGAGUGCGCUGGGGCUGGCGUGAGGUUCUGAGAGCCCUUAGGCCAAAGCCUGGUCUUUAACGUGGCGAGGGGCAGUAGGUUGGUACCGCCCAGCACCCACACAGCUCGGCAGACGGACUCUUCUGGGAAGCACUGAGCGUGUCUUGGAGCUCUGGGACUCACUUUCCAUUUGAUCCGCCUCUGAUGGGGGGGACGGGGAAGUAAAAAAGGACCAGGGCUGGCGUUUAAGUGUGUUAAUGUUUUUAACCUGAGUAACAGCAGCCAACGAGAAGCUGGAAAACCCUCUGAAGAACCAGCUUCUCUGUGCAUAGACCCCUUUGAUGGGAUUCGCCUCCCACAUCGGCUGCGCUCGCAGCGCCGGCCGGGGGCCCGCGGGGAGCGGGGCUGUCCCGGGACCGGGAAGCAGGACGGAGCGUUUACCCAACGCGUGUCGGGGCAAAUCCGCCCGCAU